rnacentral:tRNA from 1 species
GCCGGGAUGGUGAAAUGGUAGACACUCAGGACUUAAAAUCCUGUGCCUGAUAAAGGCGUGCGAGUUCGAGUCUCGCUCCCGGCACCA